rnacentral:rRNA from 1 species
UACGUAGGGGGCAAGCGUUGUCCGGAUUUAUUGGGCGUAAAGAGCGUGUAGGCGGCCAUACAGGUCAGCUGUGAAAACUCGAGGCUCAACCUCGAAACGUCGGUUGAAACCGUAUGGCUAGAGUCCGGAAGAGGAGAGUGGAAUUCCCGGUGUAGCGGUGAAAUGCGCAGAUAUCGGGAAGAACACCCAUGGCGAAGGCAGCUCUCUGGGACGGUACUGACGCUGAGACGCGAAAGCGUGGGGAGCGAACAGG